UACGUAGGGUCCGAGCGUUGUCCGGAAUUACUGGGCGUAAAGAGCUCGUAGGCGGUUUGUCGCGUCUGCCGUGAAAGUCCGGGGCUCAACUCCGGAUCUGCGGUGGGUACGGGCAGACUAGAGUGAUGUAGGGGAGACUGGAAUUCCUGGUGUAGCGGUGAAAUGCGCAGAUAUCAGGAAGAACACCCGUGGCGAAGGCGGCUCUCUGGAACGCAACUGACGCUGAGACGCGAAAGCGUGGGGAGCAAACAGG
rnacentral:rRNA from 1 species